rnacentral:rRNA from 1 species
UACGGGGGGGGCAAGCGUUGUUCGGAAUUACUGGGCGUAAAGGGCUCGUAGGCGGCCAACUAAGUCAGACGUGAAAUCCCUCAGCUUAACUGGGGAACUGCGUCUGAGACUGGCAAGCUCGAGUGCAGGAGAGGAACGCGGAAUUCCAGGUGUAGCGGUGAAAUGCGUAGAUAUCUGGAGGAACACCGGCGGCGAAGGCGGCGUUCUGGACUGCAACUGACACUGAGGAACGAAAGCCAGGGGAGCAAACGGG